rnacentral:rRNA from 1 species
UACAGAGGGUGCGAGCGUUAAUCGGAAUUAUUGGGCGUAAAGCGCGCGUAGGCGGCUUUGCAAGUCGGGUGUGAAAUCCCCAGGCUUAACCUGGGAACUGCAUUCGAGACUGCAUUGCUAGAGUAUGGGAGAGGGAAGUGGAAUUUCCGGUGUAGCGGUGAAAUGCGUAGAUAUCGGAAGGAACAUCAGUGGCGAAAGCGACUUCCUGGACCAAUACUGACGCUCAUGUGCGAAAGUGUGGGGAGCAAACAGG